GACGAACGCUGGCGGCGUGCUUAACACAUGCAAGUCGAACGGAAAGGCCCUGCUUUUGUUGGGUGCUCGAUUGGCGAACGGGGGAGUAACACGUGAGUAACCUGCCCUUGACUUUGUGAUAACUUCAGGAAACUGGGGCUAAUACCGGAUAGGAGCUCCUGCUGCAUGGUGGUGGUUGGAAAGUGUCGGCGGUUGGGGAUGGACUCGCGGCUUAUCAGCUUGUUGGGGUGGUAGUGGCUUACCAAGGCUUUGACGGGUAGCCGGCCUGAGAGGGUGAACGGCCACAUUGGGACUGAGAUACGGACCAGAAGCCUACGGGCGGCAGUAGUGGGGAAUAUUGCACAAUGGGCGGAAGCCUGAUGCAGCAACGCCGGGUGCGGGAUGACGGCCUUCGGGUUGUAAACCGAUUUCGACUGUGACGAAGCGUGAGUGACGGUAAUGGGUAAAGAAGCACCGGCUAACUACGUG
rnacentral:rRNA from 1 species